UCGGCUUAGGAAUGUCUCGUCUCUCAUUAAUGCUAACCUCAACUUCUCUGUUUAUUAUGAUGGAUCGGAGAUUGGUAAUUACUAUCAAAGUCAAAACCUAUUAAGAGAACUUCUUGAAAGCCUUCGACACGUUAGAGAGGUUAAAAUAGGGAGUUGUUGCCUCCAGGUUCUGCCAAUAUUGGAGGUCAAAGGUGUGCUGUUUCAGUUGACAAGCUGCAAAAGCUUGGCACUGAACACUUACGUCAAUAGAUGGGACAGCCCAGCCAUAGCAAGCCUUCUACGAAGUUCACCAAAUUUAG